AAAAGAUAUAAAGUUAGAGUUAAUUCUAAUUUUUUUAUUUUAUAAAAAAGAUAAAUUCAAUCUCCAUAUUUGUAAUGUACUGAACAUUGAUAAAUUGGUAAAGUAUGGUUUAAGUCAUGUUAUACAUGACUAAAAUGAGUUUUGAGAGAUUUAGAUCGAGUUUGGAUCGAAUUGAAAAUAAUUCGGAUCGAAACAGUGUUCUGAAACUCAGAAAAUUGAGUUUCAGGUCGUUUUGGAAGCUCGAGAAGGGAGAUCAAGCGC
rnacentral:lncRNA from 1 species